UAAGGGGGAAUUAAUAAUAAUUUAUAAAUAAUAAAAAUAAUUUUAAAAAAUCAUUAAUGGGGGUUAAAGUAUUUUUUAAGAAAAAAUUUAUUAAUUUAUAGUAAAAUAGUAUUGUGAAAGAAUUUUGAAAAAUUUUGAAAAUAAAUUAUUAAAUAAGUAAAUUUAAUUUGUUGUAUCUUGUGUAUCAGAGUUUAUUAAAUAAUAUUUUUAGAUAAAAUAUCUCGAAUUUAAAAGAGAUAAUUAAUUAUUAAAGUUAAUAUUGCAUAAUUAUUUUAAAUAAUUAAUUUGAAAUGAAAUGUUAAUCGUUUUUAAAAAUAUCUAGUUUUUUUAGAAAAAAAUUUAAUUUUAAAUUAAUUUUUUUUUUAUUUUAUAAAUUUAUUUUAUAAAAUAAUAUAAUUAAUUAAAUAUUUUAAGGGAUAAGCUUUAAAAUAAAUUUUUAUAAUAUAUAAAAAAAGUUUUUUAAAUUUUUUAAAAUUUAUAUUUUUUAUAAAUUAUAAUUUUUUAUAAAUAAUUUUAUUAAUUUUAAAAUUUAAAAUUAUAUUUAAAUUUUUAUAAAAAAAUAAUUUUAAAUUAAUUAAAAUUAGUUAUUAUGAUAAAAUUAGUAUAUAAAAAUGUAAUAAAAUUAAAAAAUAAUUAGAGGAGAGGAAUUCGGCAAAUAU
rnacentral:rRNA from 1 species